GUGUUCGGAGUUCAAGACUCCGCUGCCGCCGUCUCUAACCGUUACGUACACAUCUUAUGUACGCUAGUGCUUGCCGCUUGGUUGGACUUCUUCCUACAUCGACGAGGACUAAUAACUCCACGCUUCCGCUCUGCCAGUCCUCCCGUCAGGUGAGCGACUGCUACAUUGGUAUCGAGCGUCAAGUUCGAUCCUCCUUGACGCGAUGCGCUACAAUAAGGCCACGCAAAAGCGUUUGACUAAAUUCCUUAAGCUUCAAAAAUCGUAUGAAAGGUAUCGCGAAGCAUCCCUUCAGGAACAGGACCCUGCUGCGCCCGAGGCUACUGAGUCCGACGACGAAGAUGAACGCCCUUUGGCUAUUCCCAAUAAGGAACAUCAUAUUAAUAAUAUUCCUGUUAAUUGUCCACAGAUGGACGUUGAUCCUCCGGCGGAAUCGCCUUCGGAGACCGCGCAGCAGGCCUCGCCUUCUACGGGCG
rnacentral:lncRNA from 1 species